UACCCAUGUCGAAGACAACAAAG
rnacentral:misc_RNA from 1 species